rnacentral:rRNA from 1 species
AUACGGAGGGUGCAAGCGUUACUCGGAAUCACUGGGCGUAAAGCGCACGCAGGCGGUCUUUUAAGUUGGAUGUGAAAGCCUACGGCUCAACCGUAGAACUGCAUCCAAAACUAUUAGACCAGGGUGUGGGAGAGGAAGAUGGAAUUAGUUGUGUAGGGGUAAAAUCCGUAGAGAUAACUAGGAAUACCAAAAGCGAAGGCAAUCUUCUGGAACACUACUGACGCUGAGGCGCGAAAGCGUGGGGAGCAAACAGGAUUAGAUACCCUAGUAGUCC